rnacentral:rRNA from 1 species
CGAAUCUUCCGCAAUGCGCGAAAGCGUGACGGAGCAAUGCCGCGUGCAGGGUGAAGCCCCUCGGGGUGUAAACUGCUGUCAGGGUUUAGCAACUCAAGGAGCAAACCCAAAGGAAGGGCCGGCUAACUUCGUGCCAGCAGCCGCGGUAAUACGAAGGGCCCGAGCGUUAAUCGGAAUCACUGGGCUUAAAGCGUACGUAGGCGGGCGCGCAGGCAUCUUGUGAAAGCCCUCGGCUCAACCGAGGAACUGCUUGGUGAACCGCGCGUCUUGAGGCAAGUAGGGGCUGUCGGAACGCUAGGUGGAGUGGUGAAAUGCGUUGAUAUCUAGCGGAACGCCGAAGGAGAAAUCAGGCAGCUGGGCUUGUUCUGACGCUGAGGUACGAACGCGUGGGGAGCGAA